GGGGGGAGGCUGGAUCCUGGGCUGUGUCCCGGCGCCCUGUGCAUUGGGGCCUGCGCUGUUGGAUUCGCGCUCCCGCCCCGCAGCCCCCU
rnacentral:pre_miRNA from 1 species